CCGGAGGCAGUUUGUUGUUCUGCUCUUUUGUCCAUGAAACUACUUAAGAUAAAAUAUGACGUCAAAAUCAAGAAACUAAGAAGAUUAUUUCCUAGAGUCAGAAUUAUAUAUCACAGGUGAAGAAUGGAGAAAAUUGGAUUUCAUCUGCUUAUCUACAGGAGAAAGAAGUGGCUACCUCCUCCUCCCUUCUUGAAGCAGUAAGAAAAACCUUUGCUCUUUGUAUACUAGAUGAAAAGGAUCCCAAGAUCUCAAUCUAAACUAUUGGGGUAUCAAUACAUACCUCCAAGGAUCAAUCAGAUAAACCCAAUGUCUCUGGUUUUUCUGGCCUAGAGAUGUCUCCAAAGUCCUGAGCCUCAUCUUACUUUGAAAAGAGUUCCAGACUUCAGAAAGAAAUUUGGAAAAUAAUGAAUAAUGUUACUUAAGAGACCUUUUUAAACUUCCAUCAAAAAGUUUCCCUCACUAACUUCUAAAGGAAGAAGGAAAAGAGAAGAAGAAUGAGGUCAGAUUCUAGAGACCCUUCUCAUCCUGGAGCUGAACUUUCAGGCAUGUGAGCAGGCAGGGACAUUUAUCCUCUAAUUUACAGAUAGGUAUGCUACAAUCCAAAAUAUUGGGUCUAACGGCACACUUGACUGGAUUUAGUAGGGGAAUCAUGCAAACUUAGAGAAAAGUCCCAAGGGUGGCCAUUCCCCACCAAGCUGCUGGCGCAACAGCCAUAACAGAAUAAGUAAAAUGGAAACACUGUACCUAAUUCUCAGUGGUUAUAUAGAACAAGACACUUGGAAAUGACCAAGUGGAUCAGUAAAGAGUCUCAAAAUGAUGGAGUCCUGUGAAUUCUCAGAAGCCUGGAGUUAGGAUAAAGAAGCCACUCUUGAGAUGGGAAUCAAUGCCUGAAGCACUGAACCACCCAAAUGCCCUGAAUUGGGUGAAUAGAUAAACUGUGGUUCACCUUUUAGCUCCUAAAGUUCUAACACUCUUCUCUGAAUCACAUCUCCUACAGCAUCACCACGUUGCUAAUGCAAUCUACGCUUACUCACUCUGCAGUAGCUGAAACACACUCUUCUCUCUGCUACUGUAUUUUAUUAAAACCGCAUCAAUAGCAACAUUCAAUGAAUAAGCAAGAAUCACUUUCAUCCCUCUCUCCAGACCACAAAAUAUUUUACAUGCCUGUGAUUGAACUGCUCUGGCUGCCAUGUCUUCCCACAGGAUACAAAUGAUAGGCCUGGCACUGACAUUUUCCCUGCUUGCCCAGCUGUCUGACAGUGAUAACACAGCAGUCUCAGAUCUGAACAUACAGCCACACAGCCACUCAUGGUGCCUGCUUCAAAAAAAGGAAAAAAAUCACUUUACAUCCCAAAGCUCAAUAAAAUCAAGGUUCUUUUAAUAGCAAAGUGUUUUAUUUAUUGCUGGUAACCAGUGAACAUUGGAUUCUCAAAGGAUCUUACUUAAUGAGACAGUUGACCUUUAGCAUCCAUACUUAUUACACCAACAAAAUUAAAGUACAUUUUUAAAAGCAUUAAUUUCCAAUUACUAAGACCUCACAUAUUAAGAUAAAAUGUCCCCCU